GGCGACGUGUUGAAACCGGAAAUCAUGCGGUGUUCCGAACGCCGCGUUGGAGGUUCAAGUCCUCCCGUCGCUGCCA
rnacentral:tRNA from 1 species